UACGGAGGGGGCUAGCGUUGUUCGGAAAUACUGGGCGUAAAGCGAACGUAGGCGGCUUGGCAAGUCAGGGGUGAAAUCCCAGUGCUCAACACUGGAACUGCCUUUGAAACUGCCAGGCUUGAAUCCUGGAGAGGCGAGUGGAAUUCCGAGUGUAGAGGUGAAAUUCGUAGAUAUUGGAAGAACACCAGUGGCGAAGGCGACUCGCUGGACAGGUAUUGACGCUGAGGUUCGAAAGCGUGGGGAGCAAACAGGG
rnacentral:rRNA from 1 species